UACGUAGGGGGCGAGCGUUGUCCGGAAUUAUUGGGCGUAAAGAGCGUGUAGGCGGUUCGGUAAGUCUGCCGUGAAAACCUGGGGCUCAACCCCGGGCGUGCGGUGGAUACUGCCGGGCUAGAGGGUGGUAGAGGCGAGUGGAAUUCCCGGUGUAGCGGUGAAAUGCGCAGAUAUCGGGAAGAACACCAACGGCGAAGGCAGCUCGCUGGGACGGUACUGACGCUGAGACGCGAAAGCGUGGGGAGCGAACAGG
rnacentral:rRNA from 1 species